rnacentral:rRNA from 1 species
UACAGAGGUCUCAAGCGUUGUUCGGAAUCACUGGGCGUAAAGGGUGUGUAGGCGGUUGUCUAAGUUUGGUGUGAAAUCUCCCGGCUCAACCGGGAGGGUGCGCCGAAUACUGAAUGACUUCGAGUGCGGGAGAGGAGAGUGGAAUUCCUGGUGUAGCGGUGAAAUGCGUAGAUAUCAGGAGGAACACCGGUGGUGUAGACGGCUCUCUGGACCGUAACUGACGCUGAGACACGAAAGCGUGGGUAGCAAACAGG